UGUGCCGAGAGCUAACUGUGUCAAGA
rnacentral:piRNA from 1 species